AAAAAAAAAUUGAAAUACACAGCCACUUAGCCCCAAAUGAAAUUAACAAAACAAGAAAAAUCCCUAAUUGUGUAUUACACGUUUAAUUAUCUAGUCUCUACCAGUUGGCUUCUCUGGAUCUCACUCAAACUCAGCCUCUCAAUCGUUUUCCUCUCACGCUCACUCGCUCGAUCUAUUCUCUCUCACACUCAGCCCCCUCGAUCCGUUCUCUCACUCAGCCUCUACAAGAACUCAGAUCUCGUCUUUCUCUUCAUAAUGUCGAGCUUCUCUCCUUCACACUCAGCCUCGGCAAGAACCAGGCGACCCUGCCGAUGCAAGAACCAGGCCACCAUGGGGCAAACUAGGCAGACCUCCAAUUGUUUAUGAGAUUCUUCCACCACAAUGCUUAUAGAUGGUUUCCUGCAUAUGGGUUAGUUAAUAUCUUGUUCUGAAGGAGGGCCAAUGAAAACAGAUCAGGAUCACAAUUCGUUUAUUGGAAUCAAAUCAUUGAUUGAGCCUACUCUUCGUGAACUACAAUCAAAGAUGAGAGAAGCUGAGAAUGAUCCCCAUGAUGGCAAGAGAAAGUGUGAGGCUUUGUGGCCUAUAUUCAAAAUAGCACAUCAGAAGAGCCGUUACAUUUUUUACCUUUACCAUCAGCAAAAGGAAAUAUCUAAGGAGCUGUUUGAGUUCUGUCUAGACCGACCAAGCCUGGUUAUGAACGCCUCUGCUGCUUGAGGUGCAUGCAGCCCCGAGAUCAUAACUUUGCUACCACAUGUGUGUGUCGAGCGCUGAAACAUCUGAGAAAGGAGAAGGUUAUAGAGUGUGUACAUUGUGGUUGUAGGGGCUGCACUAGUGGAGACUGAUUGGCUUCCACUUCUUCUGAGUGUUAACUAUAUAUGCUAGGAUAGUCUAUUAUGGUUAAAUAACUAAAAACUGAAUUUGUUUUGCUAAUGCAACAUCAUCAUGCUUCAUACUCAUUGAAUGGUGCCAAUGACAGUGAGAAAACAAAGGCGUUGUUGACAAGUACUGCACAUGUUCAUUUGAAGUACUCAGAAAUCAUCUUCAACUACCUCAGAAAGUGUACAACUUAUAUGUUAUGAUGGAUUUCAAGUCUGGGCUCUCUUACGUUUGAUGAUGGCAGGAAUCUUUAAGCCAUUUUAAGCACAUUUUUUUAUCUGGGUAAGCAAGGAAAGCAUAGAGAUGUCAAGGUUUACUUAAUUCCUAGAAACCAUGACAUUGGCUAUGAAAGUAACCUCAUUCAUAGUCUAGAGGAGUUUGGAAAGAGAAACUAUCGAUUUACAGCAGUAGAAGUAGAAUUUACUGCCAUUGAUGCCCAAACUUUAGAUGGUAAAAGAGAACAAGCAACUUUUUUUUGUUUAUCUAUCAUAUAAUUGUUGUUUGAACUCUGAAAUUUGGAUGUGAUAAUAAUGAAUGUGACGUCAGCCAAGCAAUUGUUUUUCCUGGACAUGGAAGUUUAAUAUCAAUUAACCAGUAAAUUAUUCCUUGUAGUUGGCAUCUUUACUAUAAUUGAUCUUAAUUUCUCAUGGAAUUUGCAUUCCUUGUAUAAUGUAAAAUGAUUUAUUAUUGCUCUGAUGGCAUUUAGAUGACUUUGUAUUAGAGUGUAGAUGACUGGAUUCUUUAGUUAACAAUGGUAAAUCAUCAACAUCAUAUCAUCAAAAGAAUCAAGCUUUCUCGUCUUGGAAUUUGUCAAGAAUGUAUCAAUUGGUAUAGAUUGUUGACUUAUGUUUAUUUUGUGUUAUUAAGUUUGUGGUUACAAUAUAAUUUACUCAUUUAUGUAUUCUGCAUGUUUUAGUUGUUUGAUCUUAUCCAAGGGUUUUAUUGACCCAUAUUCCAUUGUAUCGACGUGAUUGGACAUAUUGUGGGCCUAAUUGCAAAUCUCCAGUUAUCAACUAGCGAGUGACGCACACGGCUAAUAGAGAAAUAAUGUUUGAUUAUAUUAUUGCUUUUCUACAAAAUGUGCACCUAAAAUAUUACUUUGAGUUGGUGACCUCGUAGAUGCUUUCGGAUUGAUCUUUGUUUCAAAUAAAUAGGUACCAGAAUUACAUUUCUGAGGAGUCAUUAGAUUUCUUACUGGAGUUGAUCAAACCUGUACAAUACAGACUUUAGGCAGAUAUUGACACAUUAUAGACACGCAGGCAACUAUCUUGACCUCAUGUGCAACUAUGGUCUCAACUUGCAAUGAAAAAGCAUGAGCUAAUUUAUUGAUUUUAGACAUUUUAUAUUGUGUCCAUGAAAAGUUUAAGUUCAAGUUGAGCAAUCACUAACAUGUACUUCUUUUCAGGUACUUAUCUUGUCUGGUCACGAUCAUGAUCAAUGCACUAUAACUCAUAAGUCAACAUCCGGGCCUGUAAUGGAGGAACUGUAAGUUGGCAGGAGGGAAACCUGUACCCAUCUUUCAUGUUGUUGUCUGCUACUAAUGUUGUACUUUCAAACACUUCAAGUCCUGAUGAAGAAAUAUCAACUCAGCUGUGCUUUCUUCAAGCAAUUGUUUAUCUAUCAUAUACUAAUUGUAGUUUUUAGAUAACACUUACAUAGUUAUUGUAAGUGUAUAUUUUGAUAUUGUAAUUUUUAGAUUUGAAACAUACUGAGUUCUAUUGAUUUUGUCUGCUUGUUGAUUCUGUCUUCACUAUGUUGUAAUUAUACAGGAAAUUAUGAAUGAAUUAGUGGUUGAAAAUAGAGAAAUGAAAAAAUU